UGUCCUGAUGAUGAUUGAAUAUACCGCCCCAGUCUGAUUAUUUAUGAAGGACUGGUACAUUUCUGAAGGACA